rnacentral:misc_RNA from 1 species
UUUCCGUAGGUGAACCUGCGGAAGGAUCAUUAUUGUAUAACCGAGGUCCGAGGGCUGUCGCUGACACGAAAGCUCGUGCACGCCCGAGUGCCCUCACACACAUCCACCCCACCCCGAUGUACACAACCGCGUCGGUCCCCCUUCGCUUUGUUCGGAGGGGGGCUGACGUUUUUUUACACACUUUGUAUGCUGUGUAGAAUGUAUAUGUAGUUUUUGCGAUAUCGCAAUCAAUAAAACUUUAGACAACGGAUCUCAUUGCUCUCUCAUCGAUGAUGAACC